rnacentral:sRNA from 1 species
AAAUGCUUACUUUAUUCUAGUCUCAAUUGAAUAAAGUGUUAAGUGUUAGUUCUAACAACUGAAUAAGUUAAAUGGCCCCUACUUAGAGCCUGGAAAUUAUAAAUAAUCAGAUAUUCAAUUUCCUAAGUUUUCAGAGAUUUACGGGUUACACAGUACAGCAAUUCAUUUGAUUACCCAGAUAUCAUUCUUAAAUAUCUAGUACUAAGCUUUUCUUAAAUUUCCUUCAAUUUAUUGUUUCUUUAGAAGACUUUAGGUGUUAAAAUUUAGCUUUGUUGUCUUCAUUUAAAAAGUUGAGUAUAGGCAUUUUUUCCAAUGAAUACCUUUAUUCUUAUUACAGGCCAUCCGAGUUACUCAUGAGACCAGUGCCCAUGAAGGUCAGACUGAGGCACCAAGUAUAGAUGAGAAAGUAGAUCUUCAUUUUAUUGCAUUAGUUCAUGUAGAUGGGCAUCUCUAUGAAUUAGAUGGGCGGAAGCCAUUUCCAAUUAACCAUGGUGAAACUAGUGAUGAAACUUUAUUAGAGGAUGCCAUAGAAGUUUGCAAGAAGUUUAUGGAGCGCGACCCUGAUGAACUAAGAUUUAAUGCGAUUGCUCUUUCUGCAGCAUAGCUUGUCAAUAAUGGAAACACCAAAAACUGUAUUAUUUGCAACUAAAUUUUCUCUGCCAUACACUAACUCAAAAAUUUUGAUAUUUUCAUUAACUUGAUGAUUAAACUUUAUGUGAGUU